CGGUCUUUAGAAGGUACGAGACGGCUCUUGGAACGGUGCCAGGCAUGGGUGCCAGGCAUGAAUGCAAUGUGGCUUUUGAUGGCUUCUGGUGGACAGUUGUGUACCAAAGGGAUGAGAACCGCUGCUGGGGUCUUAAGGCACAAUCUUAAUGCUGUAUCUAUGGGCAAACAGGCACUAUGCAGGAAGUUAAGCACUAUGUAGGCACUAAGCUGAAAGUUGAAGGGGUGGACUUGAAUCCUUGACCUGUCCGGGCCAACUUUUUGAUCCUGGGCACACGUUUUUAUCCAUGGAUGGCUUGGGGUACAAAUUUUUGAGACCUUUUAUAUAAAGGUGUCAAGAGGUACUGGCUACAACGCAGGGAGCAAGAAGUUUUAAGCAAAGGCAAACGUGUUACCCUGAAGAUUUCAAGGGCAUUUAUGACAGCAGUCAUGCAUCUUAACAGUUGACAGGCAGCUGGAUGGAUGCUCAUGGGAUAGGAGAGGAAACAACUUUCAAUUUUUUUUAAAGCCUACUUUAUUUAUUGGCCAUGCUGCACAGCAUGUAGGAUCUUAGUUGCCCCACCAGGGAUUGAACCCAUGCCCCCUGCAGUGGAAGUGCAGAGCCCUAACCACUGGACCACCAGGGAAUUCUCCAACUUUGAAUUUUAAUAAAUAUUUAUGAACUA